rnacentral:rRNA from 1 species
UACGUAGGUGGCGAGCGUUGUCCGGAUUUACUGGGCGUAAAGAGCGCGCAGGCGGUCGUUCAAGUCGCGUGUGAAAGCCCCCGGCUCAACUGGGGAGGGUCACGCGAUACUGAUCGACUCGAAGGCAGGAGAGGGAAGUGGAAUUCCCGGUGUAGUGGUGAAAUGCGUAGAUAUCGGGAGGAACACCAGUGGCGAAGGCGGGUUGCUGGGCCGACACUGACGCUGAGGCGCGAAAGCUAGGGGAGCGAACGGG